rnacentral:rRNA from 1 species
UACGAAGGGUGCAAGCGUUACUCGGAAUUACUGGGCGUAAAGCGUGCGUAGGUGGUUUGUUAAGUCUGUUGUGAAAGCCCCCGGCUCAACUGGGGAGGGUCACGCGAUACUGAUCGACUCGAAGGCAGGAGAGGGUAGUGGAAUUCCCGGUGUAGUGGUGAAAUGCGUAGAUAUCGGGAGGAACACCAGUGGCGAAGGCGACUACCUGGCCUGUUCUUGACGCUGAGGCGCGAAAGCUAGGGGAGCAAACGGG